rnacentral:rRNA from 1 species
AUUGAACGCUGGCGGCAGGCUUAACACAUGCAAGUCGAGCGGGGUGAUGGUGCUUGCACUAUCACUUAGCGGCGGACGGGUGAGUAAUGCUUAGGAAGCUGCCUAUUAGUGGGGGACAACAUCUCGAAAGGGAUGCUAAUACCGCAUACGUCAUACGGGAGAAAGCAGGGGAUCACUUGUGACCUUGCGCUUAUAGAGGAGCCUAAGGCGGAUUAGCUAGUUGGUGGGGUAAGGGCCUACCAAGGCGACGAUCUGUAGCGGGUCUGAGAGGAUGAUCCGCCACACUGGGACUGAGACCCGGCCCAGACUCCUACGGGAGGCAGCAGUUGGGAAUAUUGGACAAUGGGGGGAACCCUGAUCCAGCCAUGCCGCGUGUGUGAAGAAGGCCUUAUGGUUGUAAAGCACUUUAAGCGAGGAGGAGGCUCUUUUGGUUAAUACCCAAGAUGAGUGGACGUUACUCGCAGAAUAAGCACCGGCUAACUCUGUGCCAGCCGCCGCUGUAA